AUGAAUCUCAUCAGUUGGAACUGCCGGGGAGGGGGGAACGCCUGGACAGUUCGUGAAAUUGCGACGAUCUCCCAGUCGCAUUCCCCCAAGCUGAUCUUCCUCUGCGAGACAAGGCAAAAAGCAACAAAGAUGAGGAGGAUACGAGCUCAUACUGGUUUGAAGGGUUUCGUUGGUGUUGGCAGUAAUGGUAUGAGUGGUGGUUUGGCGCUUUUUUGGCAUGAAUCUUAUGUGGUAGAAAUUCUGGGCACGGAGGACAGAUACAUCGAUGUGUUAGUCAGAGAACACGCGGAUGCAGCUCAAUGGAGGGUUACUUUUGUGUAUGGCGAACCGCGGGUCGAGAAUCGUCAUCUCAUGUGA
rnacentral:rRNA from 1 species